ACUUUAGUAGUGUAUAAACAUAGUAAGUUGUAAACUUAAAGAUGCCUAGGCCAGAGUUA
rnacentral:tRNA from 1 species